CUCAAAGCGUAUAUUAAAGUUGUUGCAGUUAAAACGCUCGUAGUCGGGUUUCGGGUCGGGCCGAGCGGUCUGCCGAUGGGUAUGCACUGUUUGGCGCGGCCUUCUUUCCGGAGACCGCGGCUACUCUUAACUGAGCGGGCGUGGGAGACGGAUCGUUUACUUUGAAAAAAUCAGAGUGUUUCAAGCAGGCAGCUCGCUCUUGCAUGGUACAGCAUGGGAUGAUUGAAUAGGACUCCGGUGCUAUUUUGUUGGUUUCGAACACCAGGAGUAAUGAUUAACAGGGACAGUCAGGGGCACUCGUAUUCCGUCGAGAGAGGUGAAAUUCUCAGACCAAUGGAAGACGAACCACUGCGAAAGCAUUUGCCAGGGAUGUUUUCACUGAUCAAGAACGAAAGUUAGGGGAUCGAAGACGAUCAGAUACCGUCGUAGUCUUAACCAUAAACCAUGCCGACUAGGGAUUGGAGGGUGUUCGUUUCGACCUCUUCAGCACCUUACGGGAAACUAAAGUCUUUGGGUUCCGGGGGGAGUAUGGUCGCAAGGCUGAAACUUAAAGGAAUUGACGGAAGGGCACCACCAGGAGUGGAGCCUGCGGCUUAAUUUGACUCAACACGGGGAAACUUACCAGGUCCAGACAUUGUUAGGAUUGACAGAUUGAGAGCUCUUUCUUGAUUCGAUGGGUGGUGGUGCAUGGCCGUUCUUAGUUGGUGGAGUGAUUUGUCUG
rnacentral:rRNA from 1 species